rnacentral:rRNA from 1 species
AUUGAACGCUGGCGGCAUGCCUUACACAUGCAAGUCGAACGGCAGCAUGGAGAGCUUGCUCUCUGAUGGCGAGUGGCGAACGGGUGAGUAAAGCAUCGGAACGUACCGUGUAGUGGGGGAUAACGUAGCGAAAGUUACGCCAAUACCGCAUACGCACUGAGGUGGAAAGCAGGGGAUCGCAAGACCUUGCGUUAUACGAGCGGCCGAUGUCAGAUUAGCUAGUUGGUAGGGUAAAGGCCUACCAAGGCGACGAUCUGUAGCGGGUCUGAGAGGAUGAUCCGCCACACUGGGACUGAGACACGGCCCAGACUCCUACGGGAGGCAGCAGUGGGGAAUUUUGGACAAUGGGGGCAACCCUGAUCCAGCCAUGCCGCGUGAGUGAAGAAGGCCUUCGGGUUGUAAAGCUCUUUCGGCCGGGAAGAAAUCGCGCAGGCUAAUACUCUGUGUGGAUGACGGUACCGGCAUAAGAAGCACCGGCUAACUACGUGCCAGCCGCCGCGGUAA